UCAUUGUUUUUACAUGAUUUCUUGAGAUCAUCUUUCUUCUUAGGUCUUCAAUAACCCAAACCACUAAUCAAAUACCUCUCCAUAGUGAAUAUCAAUAGGCAUCUUCAUCCUUCUUAUGCACACAGAUAUGAAGCUCAAAUUGCUUUCAUGGUUCCUCUUCUUCCUCCUAUUCUCUCAAAUAGUUUGGAGGUCAGCCUGUGACACCACUUUCUCCCUCACAUAUGCUGCUUCUGAGCUUUCAGAAAAUAUUAGAGGAAAACAACCUGAGGGUUCAAAUGCAACAGUUAGGAUGGAUAGAGAAAGAAGGGGAAUAGGAUCUGAGUUGGUAAAAAUCGUGAGUAGGAAGGGCCAGAAAGGGACCGGAGGAGCUGUCGCUGACCUAAACCGAAAGCCUCCUCGGACUUCUCAUAGUGGUGCAUCUACCUUCCCGGAAAGUCAUUCUUUAGUAAUCGGUGUGGUGCUGCAAGUUAGCAUUGGAUUACUGCUAGUUUUUUAUUUCUUAUUCUGAUUAUUUUUUUGUUUGAA